GACGAUGAUCCAACGGUGCACCGUGGACGUAGUUUGCUCAGCGUUGGCUCCUUGCUGCCUUUUCCCUCUACGGCUGAUCGGUUCUUUUCCGUUCCUCUCCCCUCCCCCCGCCGUCCCGAGCGGCUACUCUUUUCUCUCUCCCGCCCACUCCGCCCUCUCCGGCCAGUCCUCUUCUCAUCUCUUCGUUUCCCGUCGUUCUGUUUCCUCGAUUGCAUCGCCGUGUAACGUGGCGCGCCGCGCCUUGUGGUUACUUCAAUUAGGUGGAUUCGUGGUUACGUAUCGACGUACUGGAGCGAGUUAACCACGCCGACACAGAGGGUACGCCAGUCACGGACUCAUCACGGACGUGCCUCCGGACUCCCUUGACAUUAUCGCUAAUCAUCUCGAAUCGAUUCUUGUAUCCACGAGGAACGGAACUCGCGGUCCGCCGGGCUGUACGGCUGCGUUCCUGUUUUAUCUUGCUUCGAGCGCAAUCACUCGGAAUCCUGCUCCCUAGUUUGCUACUUAUUGCUAGGUUCUUCUCUGGCCAGCGAAUCGCGACAACGCUUAGAACAAUCGGAUGCUCGAGAGUUUCGGUUGUCUUUCGAUGCUCGUUCCUGAAUAUUCGGGUGUCGUUACGUAUUCUUCCAACGCGGAUACUUAUAACCAUUGUUACCGUAGACAACAACUUUCUAGGAUUCUUUUAUGAAUCUGAUCUCAGUGAGACUCCGGUCCACAUUGUUAUAUUACUUCUUACGUGUAUCUCGAUUUCCUUACCGUCCAACGAGAUGCUAUUUAUAUUUUAUAGAAGUGAAAUGUUACCUACCAUCAAUCCUCGGAGUAAACGUAGACACAAAGUGAACAUCAAAUUCGUUUCAUCGGCUAAAUCGUGAACGACACGACGGUUCUAUCGAGCACAGUUUCCAAAGAAAUCGUAGGACAAGGGGUUGAACGCGAGUUCGAUCGUAGAUGCGAAUCGCGACAGGUCCGGCGAUCAAUCGGGCGCGAGGGGCGAAAUUCGGCUGUUGGUGGUGCGUGUAAUUCUGAAGCACGCGGAAAGAGACAGCCGCGUAGAAGCCCGUAUACGUAGAGCGUGAACCAACGCAGCGCCGGCCUCGCUCAACGACGAUGCCUGUAAGCCGUAGAUCCGAGAACUCGUAUCGACACGUGCAGGUCUGGCUUCGUGGACGCAGGACGCAGAAACAGGAACAGGAACAGGAAGAGGGUCGAAUCUCUUUUCGCGCUGGAUUCGUAGAAAGAGGAAAAAAAAGAGAGAAAGAAGAAGCCUCCUAGAGGUGGAGGACGAGUAAGAGUAAG